CUGGGGCUUCUUCCACCCUGGUGCUGUAGGGCUGCAUCUCUCCUUGUACUAGAGGGGGCGUGGAAGGGGCACAAGGCUAAAAGAGGAUGGGUUUUCCAGGUGAGGUGGGUUUAAGAAGCCUGAAUGAACUUCUUCCCUGAAGGGUGCAUAUUUUGCAGUCCAGACAUCCUGCUUCUCUCAGUCUAAGAGUCCUAGCACGUCUUCAGGUGCUUUCUCCUUUGACCUUGAGGCCAUGCCUGCAAUCUCUGCAGCCAGGUCUCCCGCAUGUGUAGCAGCACCAGGAGGUGUGGUAGCUUCUUCAGCCCCUGUCUCCUCCUCCAGAUGCUCCUGGAGGUGCCUGGCUCUUCUUGCCAGGACUCCAGGAUGCUGACCAGGGACUCAGUGUUGGUUAAAGGAUGUCGGCCAGUGACCACGUGUCCUCAUUUCCUUUGAAGGCUUAGGCUAGUUGCCUGGGCAGAAGACAGCCAAGGUCAGUCUGAGCCUAGACACCUAGUGACCUGUGACACUGCAGCCAGUGAUAGAUGUUAAUUUCCAUGCUCAGGUAUCCGCAGGUGGCGGAUUCAGAGUGGUCGGAGGAGAAGUGUAAAUAGAGAUCACACACUCAUGAGGACACGGGCCAAAGGUCAGGGAAAAUAGCUGAGAUCGUGGAGCUCUAGCGGAGCCAGUCUGGGGCACAGGCCUCCCUCCUGUAAGUGGCAAAGAGGCGAUCCAUAUGCCACCAUCCGCAGACUCUGGACUGCUGGGGCCCUGGAUGCCUGGAUUUUGGUCUUGUCCUUGGAGAAGUGACACGCAUGCAGUGUGCCACCGGGGGCUGUGGCCCACCAGAAGCAAAAUCUUGAAAAUGGGGGCUUGAUUUGACUUUGCCUGGGCUCUCCUUUGGCUGCGUGCCAUCCUGUGUUUCCUAGCAGGAGAAGGCAUUCGUGGAGAGAGGCGGGUUCCAUGUGUGCAGGCAAAGUAUGUGCUGAGAUGAUGAGUUGCUGGAGACCAGGGUGGACUCUUCAGACCCAGGAUAGGCCUCUGGCAGGCACUCUAUCAGGCAUUCCAAGCUGUGAAGUGCCUGGGGGGGAGAAGGAAGAGACUUCAGAGAAUGAACACAUACAGAGAGAGACACAGAGAGAGAGGCAAGAGAUGAAGGCAUUCGUGAAGAGAGGCGGAUUCCAAGUGUGCAGGCAAAGUGUGUGCUGAGAUGAAGAGUCGCUGGAGACCAGGGUGGACUCUUUAGACCCAGGAUAGGCCUCUGGCAGGUAUGUGUCAAUGUUUUCUGCCCAUGGCACUCACCCGGGUAUUUGCAUACAAUGUUAUCAGCGGAAUUAGUAGUCCCCGGAGAGGCUGCCACAUGUCAACAAGCUUCACCCGGCCAGGGUCCGCCCGUGAUGUAGCUCCCCAAUCAAUGGCUACUCUCUAGACCUUCCAGAUAGACUAGCAGAUCUUCUCUGCCCAUGGGCAACCAGUAGAGCCAGAGGCCUUCUCCCUUUGCUCUUUCAUCUCUAGGCAGUCUGUCAGGCACUCUAAGCUGUGAAGUGCCUGGGGGGGAGAAUGCAGAGAUUUCAGAGAACGAACACAUCCAGAGAGAGACAGAGAGAGGCAAGAGAUGCUGAGUGGGGAUGCCUUGCGUACUGAUAUCCUCAGGAAAGUGGGAAAGAGGUACCUGGCCUGCUCUGCCAAUGCACUGAAGCAGUCCGCACCAGGGGCUCCCUUGUGCCUGCGUAGCCUUUCACAGGGUGUGCUCAAAUCCUGUGGCCACUAGGUGUCCUGGGUCACAAUGGAGGGCUCUGUGUCAUCUGCCUGGCAGGCUGGAUCUCUGCCAUUGGCUGAGUCUUGUCACCAGGCCCAUCAUAAGCUCCGCCCAUUCUUCUGGUGGGGGGACUGUCUCCAUGGUGAUGGCAAAGAAGCCUGAGUUCCGCCCACCUGGCCUUCACUUCACCUACCUGGCCUGCUGACCCUCACUCAGACCUCGGUGUUGAUUAAAAUAAAUGUCCGCCAGUGGCCAGGUGUCAGCAUC